rnacentral:rRNA from 1 species
UACGGGGGGAGCAAGCGUUGUUCGGAUUUACUGGGCGUAAAGGGCGCGUAGGCGGUCAGCACAAGUCAGUUGUGAAAUCUCCGGGCUUAACUCGGAAAGGUCAACUGAUACUGUGCGACUAGAGUGCGGAAGGGGCAACUGGAAUUCUCGGUGUAGCGGUGAAAUGCGUAGAUAUCGAGAGGAACACCUGCGGCGAAGGCGGGGUGCUGGGCCGACACUGACGCUGAUGCGCGAAAGCCAGGGGAGCGAACGGG